UUCCGGUUGAUCCUGCCGGACCUGACUGCUAUCGGAUUGAUACUAAGCCAUGCGAGUCAUUGUAGCAAUACAAGGCAGACGGCUCAGUAACGCGUAGUCAACCUACCCUAUGGACGGGAAUAAUCUCGGGAAACUGAGUAUAAUGCCCGAUAGAACACUAUACCUGGAAUGGUUUGUGUUCCAAAUGAUUUAUCGCCAUAGGAUGGGACUGCGGCCUAUCAGUUUGUUGGUGAGGUAAUGGCCCACCAAGACUAUUACAGGUACGGGCUCUGAGAGGAGUGGCCCGGAGAUGGGUACUGAGACACGGACCCAGGCCCUAUGGGGCGCAGCAGGCGAGAAAACUUUGCAAUGUGCGAAAGCACGACAAGGUUAAUCCGAGUGGUUUGUGCUAAACGAACCUUUUGUCAGUCCUAGAAACACUAACGAAUAAGGGGUGGGCAAGUUCUGGUGUCAGCCGCCGCGGUAAAACCAGCACCUCAAGUGGUCAGGAUGAUUAUUGGGCCUAAAGCAUCCGUAGCCGGCUCUGUAAGUUUUCGGUUAAAUCUGUACGCUUAACGUACAGGCUGCCGGGAAUACUGCAGAGCUAGGGAGUGGGAGAGGUAGACGGUACUCGGUAGGAAGGGGUAAAAUCCUUUGAUCUAUUGAUGACCACCUGUGGCGAAGGCGGUCUACCAGAACACGUCCGACGGUGAGGGAUGAAAGCUGGGGGAGCAAACCGGAUUAGAUACCCGGGUAGUCCCAGCUGUAAACUAUGCAAACUCAGUGAUGCAUUGACUUGUGGUCAAUGCAGUGCUGCAGGGAAGCCGUUAAGUUUGCCGCCUGGGAAGUACGUACGCAAGUAUGAAACUUUAAGGAAUUGGCGGGGGAGCACCACAAGGGGUGAAGCCUGCGGUUCAAUUGGACUCAACGCCGGUAAUC
rnacentral:rRNA from 1 species